rnacentral:rRNA from 1 species
CCUACGGGAGGCAGCAGUAAGGAAUAUUGCGCAAUGGGCGACAGCCUGACGCAGCGACGCCGCGUGGGGGAUGAAGGUCUUCGGAUUGUAAACCCCUUUCGGCAGGGAAGAUGGAACGGGUAACCGUUCGGACGGUACCUGCAGAAGCAGCCACGGCUAACUUCGUGCCAGCAGCCGCGGUAAUACGAAGGUGGCAAGCGUUGUUCGGAUUUACUGGGCGUACAGGGAGCGUAGGCGGUUGGGUAAGCCCUCCGUGAAAUCUCCGGGCCUAACCCGGAAAGUGCGGAGGGGACUGCUCGGCUAGAGGAUGGGAGAGGAGCGCGGAAUUCCCGGUGUAGCGGUGAAAUGCGUAGAGAUCGGGAGGAAGGCCGGUGGCGAAGGCGGCGCUCUGGAACAUUUCUGACGCUGAGGCUCGAAAGCGUGGGGAGCAAACAGGAUUAGAUACCCUGGUAGUCCACGCCUUAAACGAUGGAUACUAAGUGUCGGCGGGUUACCGCCGGUGCCGCAGCUAACGCAUUAAGUAUCCCGCCUGGGAAGUACGGCCGCAAGGUUGAAACUCAAAUGAAUUGACGG